CCUACGGGUGGCAGCAGUGAGGAAUAUUGGUCAAUGGGCGAGAGUCUGAACCAGCCAAGUAGCGUGAAGGAUGACGGUCCUAUGGAUUGUAAACCUCUUUUAUAUGGGAGUAAAAUAUUCCACGCGUGGGGUUCUGUGUGUACCAGAUGAAUAAGGAUCGGCUAACUCCGUGCCAGCAGCCGCGGUAAUACGGAGGAUCCGAGCGUUAUCCGGAUUUAUUGGGGUUAAAGGGUGCGUCGGUGGAUUGUUAAGUCAGUUGUGAAAUUUUGCGGCUCAACCGUCAGAUUGCAGUUGAAACUGGCAGUCUUGAGUACAGGAGAGGUGUGCGGAAUUCGUGGUGUAGCGGUGAAAUGCUUAGAUAUCACGAAGAACUCCGAUUGCGAAGGCAGCUCACUGGCCUUCAACUGACACUGAGGCUCGAAAGUGUGGGUAUCAAACAGGAUUAGAUACCCGGGUAGUC
rnacentral:rRNA from 1 species